ACGUGCCCAGUCGUGGGGGAUAACUACUCGAAAGAGUAGCUAAUACCGCAUACGAUCUGAGGAUGAAAGCGGGGGACCUUCGGGCCUCGCGCGAUUGGAGCGGCCGAUGGCAGAUUAGGUAGUUGGUGGGAUAAAAGCUUACCAAGCCGACGAUCUGUAGCUGGUCUGAGAGGACGACCAGCCACACUGGGACUGAGACACGGCCCAGACUCCUACGGGAGGCAGCAGUGGGGAAUUUUGGACAAUGGGCGAAAGCCUGAUCCAGCAAUGCCGCGUGCAGGAUGAAGGCCUUCGGGUU
rnacentral:rRNA from 1 species